CCUUUUUCCCUUUUCUUCUCCUCCAGAGUUCAUCUCCUCUGAAUCUCUCUGAUCCUUUUGAUAUUGUUUCGUUUUGAUAUUCGUCUCGUUUAUUUUUCCGCGUUUAUUGGUGUCUCGAUCGGCCAUGGAGUUUUUUCUCGAGAUUGUUCUGACGGCGGUUGUUGCGCUGUUGUUCUCCUUCGUUGUGGCGAAGCUCGUGUCGGUGGCUACGGCCGGAGGAGGACACGGUUCGAGUUCCGAGUCGGAGGAGAAGUCCGCGAUCCAUGUCGGUCAGGACGUUUCCCUUGAGGAGUUUCGGUUUGAGCAGAAAAUGGAGGCUCGGGUACUCGGGAGUGAGAGGAAUGUCCGGAUUGUUGGGGAGAAUGUGGAACAUGUGGAUCGGUUCGUAGGAGAAGCUGUCCGAUUUGACGAACUCGAGGACGCGGCGAAUGGAAGCAGAGAAAUCGGCGCUGAACUUGAAGUAAAGGAGGUCCAAGCAUUGCAGGCUGAAUACUGCGCCGCCGUUUCGCCGGAAAUUGUGAAAGAAGAGGAAACAAUAGUACCGGGACAAGAGGAACAAAAAUCUGCAACCCCCCUAGCUGUCUCGAAGGAAGACGUUAUUGCAGAGGAUAUAAGUGUCGGAAGAGAGGAGGAGCGAAAAUCAGAAUCCGGCGAUGCUGUCUCGCCGGAAAAUAUGGUAGCCGAGGAGACAAGAGUUCGAGGGCAAGAGGAAGGAAGCGAAUUGGCGGAAGAAAGAAGCGAUCACAUAGAAAUCGAAGAGAGCGGGGAUGUUGCAGUGUCUGAAUCAGAGGACCAGGUUGAAGAGAGUGAAUCUAAGGAGGGAAUUCAGGAGAAGACAGAGGAGUUGAAUAUUGAAGAGGACGAUGAUGAUGAUUGGGAGGGAAUUGAGAAGAGUGAACUGGAGAAAGCCUUUGCUGCUGCUGCUAAAUUCAUGGAAGAAUCGGGACAUGCGUUAGAAAUCGGUAACGACGCUAAGACGGAGUUAUACGGAUUGCAUAAGAUCGCCACAGAAGGACCCUGCAGAGAUUCAUCGCCCAUGGCUCUUAUGGUCUCUGCUCGUGCUAAGUGGAAUGCCUGGCAAAAGCUCGGAAACAUGAGUCAAGAGGAGGCCAUGGAGCAGUAUCUUGCACUUGUUUCAAAGGAGGUCCCUGAUCUGGAGGUCCAUGCUGGUUCCACUUUUGAGAAGAACCCCGAGAUGGAAACUUCCGACUUCGUGCCUCCUGAUUCGGGUUCGUUAGAGCCACCGCCCCCAUUGACCGCAACAGAUUCAAAGUACGAAGCUUUUAAAGGUGACGUCAAUGAGGCUUCAGAUGUAGGCAAGAAGGUAAUGGCCAGUUAGUUUUCCAUGGUGUUGGUAACAGAAGAAUACGACUAUAUAGCUGAAGUUCACUUGCGGGAAAAAUCGACUCCAGCAUUUGAUCUCACAAGCCUGUUAAGACAUGCCCCGUGAUACACAUUGAAUGCAGAUUUGAAAACUAUUCAAUUGCAUACGAGUUCCUCAAGGUAUUGACAAUGCAGUAUAUUGUAAGUAGUUCUCAAUGCCCUAGUGAUAAAAAUCUGAUUCCGAAAACCCUUAUUGGUGUCCAAACCUCGCAAUGUACAUAAAACCUAUAUGAUAUCUUCCAAUAAUUCGUUGAUUA